GUUAGAGUAGAGUUUCGAAUACUCCAAAAAUAUCAUGGUAUUUACAAAACCAUGGUAUUCAAAACAGAAAAAAAAUACUAUGGUUUUAUGUCGAAACUCCAAAAAAUACUUUGCUUCCAACACCCCCUUAUCUCCAUCAGUGGAGCUCUUAUGGAGUUGAAGCUAAAAUAGCUACUCCCGCAAUGUAUGUUCUUGUAUUUUUUUCCGAUUUGGUCAGGAUGAAAAUGUCUCUCUUUAAAGACUAGUUUGAUAACCUUAUUUUUUCAAUGGAUUUUCAUUUUUCUAAUUUCCCAAACUAACCCUAAAUAUUAACAUUAGACACUUGGCAUAUUAACACUUGGCAUAUUAACAUGGUUGUCUGUUUGCAUCACCUCGGAUUGGAAAAUAGUAAAAUCGCGUACGCAUCGUUUUCAAGUUAACCUCCACAUGAAAUGGAAAGAAUAAUAACAGAGGCUUUCGCCUGUCACGUAGUACAAUGUCGGAGGACAAGAGGCUGUUCCAAAGCACAACUAUCGCAAUCUGCAGGUUUUAUUUUCUACGCCGCCGCCGCCGCCGACGAUCCAACACCUGCCAUCGUUUUAAUAAACAAGACAUGUGUGAGCAAUGUAGGUGCGUAUCACCUAGAAAAAUCUAGCAUGCCCCUCUCUUUUGUUAUUAAUUAGGAAGAGAAAAAAAAGGAGCAUUGUUACGAUGGGAAUGGAAAACCAAUAGAUGAGAACAGCAGCACACCUAGGGAUGCCUAGACUGAAAUCGCAAUGCGCAGCUGAUGGCAUUUCAUAUACCGAUGGAGAGAGAGAAGGGCAGGUCCGUCAGGGCAAGCCUAUACACCGUGCCCACGCAGGCCAGGAUAUCCGUGCCUCGGCGUUGUGGCGGCCAGAUCUCGCCGACGGGGCCGGGAGUGGAUUGGCUGCGCGUCCUGGCCUUCCGUUCCUUGCCUGGCUCGGAUUCGUUCCAUCGCCCGUGUCCCUGUUUCCAAACAAAAACAAUGUCCCCGUCUGAUGGAGACCUGAACACAUGGGUACAAACGAAUCGCAACGGUAUAGACAACGCCGUCCCUUGUCCACUUUGCAAGUAGAAGCAGCAGCGAGCCGGUGGUGUUGC
rnacentral:lncRNA from 1 species